rnacentral:rRNA from 1 species
CCUACGGGUGGCAGCAGUGGGGAAUAUUGGACAAUGGGCGAAAGCCUGAUCCAGCCAUGCCGCGUGUGUGAAGAAGGCCUUCGGGUUGUAAAGCACUUUCAGUGGGGAAGAAAGCCUUGGGGCUAAUACCCUCGAGGAAGGACAUCACCCACAGAAGAAGCACCGGCUAACUCCGUGCCGGCAGCCGCGGUAAUACGGAGGGUGUGAGCGUUAAUCGGAAUUACUGGGCGUAAAGCGCGCGUAGGCGGUCUGAUAAGCCGGUUGUGAAAGCCCCGGGCUCAACCUGGGAACGGCAUCCGGAACUGUCAGGCUAGAGUGCAGGAGAGGAAGGUAGAAUUCCCGGUGUAGCGGUGAAAUGCGUAGAGAUCGGGAGGAAUACCAGUGGCGAAGGCGGCCUUCUGGACUGACACUGACGCUGAGGUGCGAAAGCGUGGGUAGCAAACAGGAUUAGAUACCCGAGUAGUC